AUGGUAAUUUUAUGAAAAUUUCCAAAUGACCUUUAGGGUCAUUAUAUGAUGUUUUCCAGGUUGAGCUGCUACUCGGUAAAUAUGGCCAUUGAAGCUCACCGUCAUCAUGUUUAUCCUGAUUCUUCAUGGUUAUUUCAACUUGCCCUACCAGGAUCCUGUGUCACAGGGUACUUCUUCCGCUGACAUUUUCCAUUUGUUGCUGGCAAUCUGUUGGUGGUUUUCUUCGGUCGUUCCUGUGCCAUCGGGAAGGUGUGCAAGUUACAGGCACCUAACGUGUCCCUAGAGAGAAACCUAUUACCUCCAUCCAAUAUUAAUUGUCACAUUUCUUGUUAGGCUAAGUUUUCUAAAUAAUCUUUUUUGUGUUUAUUCUACAUAUUAA
rnacentral:misc_RNA from 1 species